CAAGUCGAGGGGCAGCAGGACUGUAGCAAUACAGUUGCUGGCGACCGGCAAACGGGUGCGGAACACGUACGCAACUUACCCAAAACUGAGGAAUAGCCCGGGGAAACCCGGAUUAAUACUUCGUAACAUAAUAGAGUGGCAUCACUUUAUUAUUAUAGCUCCGGCGGUUUUGGAUGGGCGUGCGCCUGAUUAGGUAGUUGGCGGGGUAACGGCCCACCAAGCCUGCGAUCAGUAACUGGUGUGAGAGCACGACCAGUCACACGGGCACUGAGACACGGGCCCGACUCCUACGGGAGGCAGCAGUAAGGAAUAUUGGUCAAUGGACGAAAGUCUGAACCAGCCAUGCCGCGUGAAGGAUGAAGGUCCUCUGGAUUGUAAACUUCUUUUAUAUGGGACGAAACCUCUUUUUCUAGAGAGACUGACGAUACCAUAGGAAUAAGCACCGGCUAACUCCGUGCCAGCAGCCGCGGUAAUACGGAGGGUGCAAGCGUUAUCCGGAUUCACUGGGUUUAAAGGGUGCGUAGGAGGACAGGUAAGUCAGUGGUGAAAUCUCCGAGCUUAACUUGGAAACUGCCGUUGAUACUAUCUGCCUUGAAUAUUGUGGAGGUGAGCGGAAUAUGUCAUGUAGCGGUGAAAUGCUUAGAUAUGACAUAGAACACCAAUUGCGAAGGCAGCUCGCUACACAUAUNUNGACUCUNAGGCACGAAAGCGUGGGGAUCAAACAGGAUUAGAUACCCUGGUAGUCCACGCCCUAAACGAUGGAUACUCGACAUACGCGAUACACUGUGUGUGUCUGAGCGAAAGCAUUAAGUAUCCCACCUGGGAAGUACGACCGCAAGGUUGAAACUCAAAGGAAUUGGCGGGGGUCCGCACAAGCGGUGGAGCAGGUGGUUUAAUUC
rnacentral:rRNA from 1 species